GGCCAAGUUUUUAAGGGCGCACGGUGGAUGCCUUGGCACCAGGAACCGAUGAAGGACGUGGGAGGCCACGAUAGGCCCCGGGGAGUCGUCAACCAGGCUUUGAUCCGGGGGUGUCCGAAUGGGGAAACCCGGCAGUCGUCAUGGGCUGUCACCCGCUGCUGAACACAUAGGCAGUGUGGAGGGAACGCGGGGAAGUGAAACAUCUCAGUACCCGCAGGAAGAGAAAACAACCGUGAUUCCGGGAGUAGUGGCGAGCGAAACCGGAUGAGGCCAAACCUACGACGUGUGAGACCCGGCAGGGGUUGCGUCGUGGGGGUUGUGGGAUCUCUCUUUCAUGGUCUGCCGGCCAUGAGACGAGUCAGAAACCGUUGAUGUAGGCGAAGGACAUGCGAAAGGUCCGGCGUAGAGGGUAAGACCCCCGUAGUCGAAACGUCAGCGGCUCGUUUGAGAGACACCCAAGUAGCACGGGGCCCGAGAAAUCCCGUGUGAAUCUGGCGGGACCACCCGCUAAGCCUAAAUAUUCCCUGGUGACCGAUAGCGGAUAGUACCGUGAGGGAAUGGUGAAAAGUACCGCGGGAGCGGAGUGAAAUAGUACCUGAAACCGUGUGCCUACAAGCCGUGGGAGCGUCGCGCAAGGACUUGUCCUUGCGUCGUGACUGCGUGCCUUUUGAAGAAUGAGCCUGCGAGUUUGCGGUGUGUUGCGAGGUUAACCCGGGUGGGGAAGCCGUAGCGAAAGCGAGUCCGAACAGGGCGUUUCAGUAGCACGCUCAAGACCCGAAGCGGAGUGAUCUAGCCAUGGGCAGGUUGAAGCGGAGGUAAGACUUCGUGGAGGACCGAACCCACCAGGGUUGAAAACCUGGGGGAUGACCUGUGGUUAGGGGUGAAAGGCCAAUCAAACUCCGUGAUAGCUGGUUCUCCCCGAAAUGCAUUUAGGUGCAGCGUCGUGUGUUUCUUGCCGGAGGUAGAGCACUGGAUAGGCGAUGGGCCCUACCGGGUUACUGACCUUAGCCAAACUCCGAAUGCCGGUAAGUGAGAGCGCGGCAGUGAGACUGUGGGGGAUAAGCUCCAUGGUCGAGAGGGAAACAGCCCAGAGCAUCGACUAAGGCCCCUAAGCGUACGCUAAGUGGGAAAGGAUGUGGAGUCGCACAGACAACCAGGAGGUUGGCUUAGAAGCAGCCACCCUUGAAAGAGUGCGUAAUAGCUCACUGGUCUAGUGAUUCCGCGCCGACAAUGUAGCGGGGCUCAAGCGUACCGCCGAAGUCGUGUCAUUCACACAAUAGGGCCAACGCCUGUGUGGAUGGGUAGGGGAGCGUCGUGUGCCGGGUGAAGCAGCACCGGAAGGUAGUUGUGGACGGUUCACGAGUGAGAAUGCAGGCAUGAGUAGCGAUACAAACGUGAGAAACGUUUGCGCCGAUUGACUAAGGGUUCCUGGGUCAAGCUGAUCUGCCCAGGGUAAGUCGGGACCUAAGGCGAGGCCGACAGGCGUAGUCGAUGGAUAACCGGUUGAUAUUCCGGUACCCGCUGUGAAGCGUCAAACAUCGAAUCCAGUGAUGCUAAGCCCGUGAAGCCGCCGGCUGAGUCUUCGGACGAGGUCGGAGUGGUGGAGCCGGUGACCCGAGCUGGUAGUAGGUGAGUGAUGGGGUGACGCAGGAAGGUAGUCCAUCCCGGGCGGUGGUUGUCCCGGGGUAAGGGUGUAG
rnacentral:rRNA from 1 species